UGGACUCCUAGUCCCACCUAUCUUACUUCCCUGUUGGCCAACAGUGCUUUAUUCAACAACCAAUAAGAGACAGAUUUCAGAAUGGCGUCUCCCAUCAGUGGAGUCAGAAGCCACCCAAACCAGGAGCCACCAGAAGACGGAGGCAGUGAUGAGAAAUGAUUCCCCCGAGGCUUCAGAAGGGUCAUGAUCCUCCCAGACCUUGUUUAUGAUGCCAAGAGCAUCUAUCUGGGGUCCCCAGGCAAGCAUCUCCAAGACUGGCUUGUGAUUGUAUCUUCUCUUAAGUGCUCCAGGAUUUCCCAGGGCCCUUCCUACCAUCAUCGCCCUGUGAAGUGGUCCAACGUGUGAAAAGUCAUUAUGGGUGAGAGCCUGUGGGUUUGCCCAGGCCCUUUCCUAGUGAAACAACCUCGCCCCGACAGCUCCUUUGCGGGGGGAGGGGAGGGCGCCAAGGGGUGGGGGAAGAUGACAGUCAGACACAGAACUUUGCACGACGCUCCAUCUGGAAUUACAGCAGCAGUCGAGGCCACACGGAAAUGGAAUCUAUCUGGCAGAGGAAACUCACCUUCAUUCUUUAAUUAGUCUUGGCACCAAUUCUUAGCUUCCUCCAGGGAAAGACUUAGCUCUCUAAAAAAAAAACUGUUAAAAUUCUAGAGAGAAAUGUACCAUCCCUCCACGCACCUGUAACUUCAUUCUGUAUUAAAAGCCUGCAAAGUCCUUCGAGGGUAGGAAGGAAAACUGC